UGGGGAAUAUUGCACAAUGGGCGGAAGCCUGAUGCAGCGACGCCGCGUGAGGGAUGACGGCCUUCGGGUUGUAAACCUCUUUCAGCAGGGACGAAGCGCAAGUGACGGUACCUGCAGAAGAAGCGCCGGCCAACUACGUGCCAGCAGCCGCGGUAAGACGUAGGGCGCGAGCGUUGUCCGGAUUUAUUGGGCGUAAAGAGCUCGUAGGCGGCUUGUCGCGUCGACUGUGAAAACCCGCGGCUCAACCGCGGGCUUGCAGCCGAUACGGGCAGGCUAGAGUUCGGUAGGGGAGACUGGAAUUCCUGGUGUAGCGGUGAAAUGCGCAGAUAUCAGGAGGAACACCGAUGGCGAAGGCAGGUCUCUGGGCCGAUACUGACGCUGAGGAGCGAAAGCGUGGGGAGAGAAAAGG
rnacentral:rRNA from 1 species